rnacentral:rRNA from 1 species
ACGGGUGAGUAACGCGUGGGAAUCUACCGAGCCCUGCGGAAUAGCUCCGGGAAACUGGAAUUAAUACCGCAUACGCCCUACGGGGGAAAGAUUUAUCGGGGUUUGAUGAGCCCGCGUUGGAUUAGCUAGUUGGUGAGGUAAAGGCCUACCAAGGCGACGAUCCAUAGCUGGUCUGAGAGGAUGAUCAGCCACAUUGGGACUGAGACACGGCCCAAACUCCUACGGGAGGCAGCAGUGGGGAAUAUUGGACAAUGGGCGCAAGCCUGAUCCAGCCAUGCCGCGUGAGUGAUGAAGGCCCUAGGGUUGUAAAGCUCUUUCAACGGUGAAGAUAAUGACGGUAACCGUAGAAGAAGCCCCGGCUAACUUCGUGCCAGCAGCCGCGGUAAUACGAAGGGGGCUAGCGUUGUUCGGAAUUACUGGGCGUAAAGCGCACGUAGGCGGAUAUUUAAGUCAGGGGUGAAAUCCCGGGGCUCAACCUCGGAACUGCCUUUGAUACUGGGUAUCUUGAGUAUGGAAGAGGUAAGUGGAAUUGCGAGUGUAGAGGUGAAAUUCGUAGA